rnacentral:rRNA from 1 species
CGGACGGGUGAGUAACGCGUGGGUAACCUGCCUCAUACAGGGGGAUAACAGUUAGAAAUGACUGCUAAUACCGCAUAAGCACACAGAAUCGCAUGAUUCGGUGUGAAAAACUCCGGUGGUAUGAGAUGGACCCGCGUCUGAUUAGCUAGUUGGUGGGGUAAAGGCCUACCAAGGCGACGAUCAGUAGCCGGCCUGAGAGGGUGGACGGCCACAUUGGGACUGAGACACGGCCCAAACUCCUACGGGAGGCAGCAG